UACGAAGGGGGCUAGCGUUGCUCGGAAUCACUGGGCGUAAAGGGUGCGUAGGCGGGUCUUUAAGUCAGGGGUGAAAUCCUGGAGCUCAACUCCAGAACUGCCUUUGAUACAGGAUCUUGAGUUCGGGAGAGGUGAGUGGAACUGCGAGUGUAGAGGUGAAAUUCGUAGAUAUUCGCAAGAACACCAGUGGCGAAGGCGGCUCACUGGCCCGAUACUGACGCUGAGGCACGAAAGCGUGGGGAGCAAACAGG
rnacentral:rRNA from 1 species